ACAGCUGCCGAGGACAAGCUUCUUUGCAAGUGUUGGCGAGACAUUGGACAAGACCCAAAGACGGGCGCCGAGCAAAAGCAUUCGACCUUUUGGACACGUGUGCACCGCGAGUUUCAUGAGCGCAAGAAGUUUCCACCUUACCAAUUUGUGAGCACGCGCGGGUGGGUCUCCAUUUCUAAGCGGUGGAGGGUGAUCCAACAAGAGUGCAACAAGUUUUGCGCCACCCUUGAGAGCGUCAAGGCCCGCCCCGUGAGCGGCAUCGGCGUGCAAGACAUAGCAUUUCAAGCUUUGGAGGCAUUCAAGGUUCAACACAAUGGCAAGUGCUUCAACCUCUCCCAUUGCUAUCGUGUCAUCAAG
rnacentral:rRNA from 1 species